CUGAGGGUUGGUGGUGACAGCGUCUGCCUGAGGGUUGGUGGUGACAGCUUCUGCCUGAGGGUUGGUGGUGACAGCUGCUGUCUGAGUGGAGGUGGUGACAGCUGCUGUCUGAGGGUUGGUGGUGACAGCUGCUGUCUGAGGGUUGGUGGUGACAGCGUCUGCCUGAGGGUUGGUGGUGACAGCUUCUGCCUGAGGGUUGGUGGUGACAGCGUCUUCCUGAGGGUUGGUGGUGACAGCUUCUGCCUGAGGGUUGGUGGUGACAGCUUCUGCCUGAGGGUUGAUGGUGACAGUGUCUUCCUGAGGGUUGGUGGUGACAGCUUCUGCCUGAGGGUUGGUGGUGACAGCUUCUGCCUGAGGGUUGGUGGUGACAGCUUCUGCCUGAGGGUUGGUGGUGACAGCUUCUGCCUGAGGGUUGGUGGUGACAGCUUCUGCCUGAGUGUUGGUGGUGACAGCUGCUGUCUGAGGGUUGGUGGUGACAGCGUCUGCCUGAGGGUUGGUGGUGACAGCUGCUGUCUGAGGGUUGGUGGUGACAGCUGCUGUCUGAGGGUUGGUGGUGACAGCUGCUGUCUGAGUGGAGGUGGUGACAGCUUCUGCCUGAGGGUUGAUGGUGACAGCGUCUGUCUGAGGGUUGGUGGUGACAGCGUCUGCCUGAGGGUUGGUGGUGACAGCUUCUGCCUGAGGGUUGGUGGUGACAGCGUCUGUCUGAGGGUUGGUGGUGACAGCGUCUGUCUGAGGGUUGGUGUUGACAGCGUCUGUCUGAGGGUUGGUGGUGACAGCUGCUGUCUGAGGGUUGGUGGUGACAGCUGCUGUCUGAGGGUUGGUGGUGACAGCUUCUGCCUGAGGGUUGGUGGUGACAGCGUCUGUCUGAGGGUUGGUGGUGACAGCUUCUGCCUGAGGGUUGGUGGUGACAGCUUCUGCCUGAGGGUUGGUGGUGACAGCUGCUGUCUGAGGGUUGGUGGUGACAGCGUCUGUCUGAGGGUUGGUGGUGACAGCUGCUGUCUGAGGGUUGGUGGUGACAGCUGCUGUCUGAGGGUUGGUGGUGACAGCUUCUGCCUGAGGGUUGGUGGUGACAGCUUCUGCCUGAGGGUUGGUGGUGACAGCUUCUGCCUGAGGGUUGGUGGUAACAGCUUCUGCCUGAGGGUUGGUGGUGACAGCUGGUUCCGGAGCUGCAGCGGUGACUGCUGCCGGAGUUGCCUUGGUGACACCUGCUGUCGGAGCUGCUGUGGUGAAAGCUGUUGCUGGAGAGGUGGUGUUGAAUGCUGUUGCCGGAGCUGCGUUGGUGGUGACAGCUGCUGA
rnacentral:lncRNA from 1 species